rnacentral:rRNA from 1 species
UACGUAGGUGGCGAGCGUUAUCCGGAAUGAUUGGGCGUAAAGGGUGCGUAGGUGGUUUCUUAAGUCAGAGGUGAAAGGCUACGGCUCAACCGUAGUAAGCCUUUGAAACUGGGAAACUUGAGUGCAGGAGAGGAGAGUGGAAUUCCUAGUGUAGCGGUGAAAUGCGUAGAUAUUAGGAGGAACACCAGUUGCGAAGGCGAUUCUCUGGACUGUAACUGACGCUGAGGCUCGAAAGCGUGGAGAGCAAACAGG